CCUCCACUCUCCGCGCCGGCGCCGCCACGGGACUCAGUGGCCGGAGCCAGGCCGGCGUGGCGGUUACUGAAGCUGGCCCGUCUCUGCCAGCGCCUCGCCCCAGCCGCGGGCGGAACCGGACCUCUGUCUCCGCGGGGCGAAUAAGGGCGCACAAGGGCCAAGGCAUCAACCCGGGCGUUUCUCGGAAGGUGUGAGACGCCACCUCAGCUAUGCGUCCAGCCCGCGUUGGGCUGUUAAGGACCAAUCAGCCGGGAACGAGAGACGCUCUGAGGCGCAGCGCAAGAAGCCCCGCCCACUCUGCUACGGGAAACGCCCUUCUCCGUCGUCCGUCAUUGGCCAGCGCCCGCGACGCACAAAGCAAUGCCUUCUGGGUAAUGUAGUUUCUGGCCUCAAGCCCGGUGGCACUGGGAGCGGACUUCCUGGUCUCUAAAUAGCUUCUAAGGUCUCAAACAGGGCUUGGCUUCGCUUCCUCUUAAAGGAGACGCUCACAGAUUUCCGUGGCUACUUGUGGCAAUGACCCACCCUCAAAGACAGACCUUUAACAGCUCUCUGCUAUGGCCUGGGAAAGCAGUAGAAGAUGGCCCAAGUCCUUGGACCCCUGCACUCACAUGGGAGACCCAGAGAAGCUCCUGGCUUCUGGCUUCGGAUCGGCGCAGCUCUGGCCAUGACGGUCAUCUGGGGAGUGAACCAGUGGAUGGAAGACCUCUCUCUCUCUCUACCUCUUUCUGUGACUCUUUCAAAUAAAAUAUUAAAAAAAAAAAAAAGCCUGCAGCUCAUCUAUUCCUAUCUCAUCUUCCUGCCAAGUCCCCCGUAUCAGGAGGUAACUAAAACGUGCUUAGUGCUGGGCCUGGGACAGAAUGCUGAGUAGACAGAAUCCGUUGCUGUCAUUGUUAUUUUAUAUUAGUGCUACUGAAGACGUAAUGGCAAGGAUCUCAGAUACGCUGUGGGAAGUAAGCCCGAGAUACUCCGUUGAGCCGUUGGUAAUAUCUGCCUAAACACAAGCUACGUGGACCCUCUGAUUCAACAAGGGGGCUCCUGAGUAUGUUGACAAUUUUUAUGUAAAAAUACUUUUUUAAUACCACUUGGCUCACAUAAGUUUUUAUUUUAACAGUGAAUGCAAGGGGGUUUCAUGAUCUGUGGGUACAGACACUGCCCAGAGUGCUAUGGGGCCCAGGCAGGGAGUUAGGGGAAAAUGAACUGGAAGAUUCCCCACAACUCUUGUCUCUAGGCCUGCAG